rnacentral:lncRNA from 1 species
AAAACCCCACAAUUAAAAUAAAUGGAAUGAAAAAGGGUUAGUCUGACGUAUGGCUUUCUUCCCCGAAUAAUUCGAGACCCUGACGUAUGGCUCGUGACUCGAAUUAUUCUCAUUCUUAUCUUUUUCCUAAACAAUCACGAUUAAGCAAAGUUGACCGGUUGACAAAAGCUUCAGUCCAUGCAUAUGUUUAUUGUUAUAUUAUGUCUGCUUGGCUUGUUUUUUGUUUAUCUUGCUUAAACUUAUCAAAUCAAAUCAUAAUUGGAAUGAAAAAGGGUUAGUCUGACGUAUGGCUUUCUCUCCCCGAAUGAUUCGAGACCCUGACGUAUGGCUCGUGACUCGAAUCAUUCUCAUUCCCCAACGCUAAAAAACAUUAAAACACUUCAUCAUCCGCUUUAUCUUUCCUUUUGAUUUUCUUAAAUCAAAUAAAAGAACUUAAGCAUAAUUAGAGUGAAAAGGGGUUAGUCUGAC